rnacentral:rRNA from 1 species
GACGAACGCUGGCGGCGUGCUUAACACAUGCAAGUCGAGCGGUAAGGCCUUUCGGGGUCCACGAGCGGCGAACGGGUGAGUAACACGUGGGUGAUCUGCCCUGCACUUCGGGAUAAGCCUGGGAAACUGGGUCUAAUACCGGAUAUGACCUCCUAUCGCAUGGUGGGUGGUGGAAAGAUUUAUCGGUGCAGGAUGGGCCCGCGGCCUAUCAGCUUGUUGGUGGGGUAAUGGCCUACCAAGGCGACGACGGGUAGCCGACCUGGGAGGGGGAGCGGCCACACUGCGCCUGAGACAAGGCCCAGACUCGAACGGGAGGCAGCAGUGGGGAAUAUUGCACAAUGGGCGAGAGCCUGAUGUAGCGACGCCGCGUGAGGGAUGACGGCCUUCGGGUAGUAAACCUCUUUCAGCAGGGACGAAGCGAAAGUGACGGUACCUGCAGAAUAAGCACCGGCUAACUACGUG